AGUGAACGCUGGCGGUAGGCCUAACACAUGCAAGUCGAACGGCAGCACAGUAAGAGCUUGCUCUUACGGGUGGCGAGUGGCGGACGGGUGAGGAAUACAUCGGAAUCUACUUUUUCGUGGGGGAUAACGUAGGGAAACUUACGCUAAUACCGCAUACGACCUACGGGUGAAAGCAGGGGAUCUUCGGACCUUGCGCGAUUGAAUGAGCCGAUGUCGGAUUAGCUAGUUGGCGGGGUAAAGGCCCACCAAGGCGACGAUCCGUAGCUGGUCUGAGAGGAUGAUCAGCCACACUGGAACUGAGACACGGUCCAGACUCCUACGGGAGGCAGCAGUGGGGAAUAUUGGACAAGGGGCGCAAGCCUAAUCCAGCCAUACCGCGGGGGUGAAGAAGGCCUUCGGGUUGUAAAGCCCUUUUGUUGGGAAAGAAAAGCAGCAGGUUAAUACCCCGCUGUUCUACGGUACCCAAAGAAUAAGCACCGGCUAACUUCGUG
rnacentral:rRNA from 1 species